UGAAAUUUCCCUUAUAGAUAAACUUUCCUGAAAAGCGGGCUAUCUGUGUAUCCUAGUUUCCAAGCCUCCACUGCCACGUAGUUUGUUUAUUACAAGAUGGCGGACACAGUUACUCUUUGCUGCAGCGAAGGGGAUUCUGCUACGAUAAACUUGUUUGGAGCAACGGUCACAUCGUGGAAGUGCAGGGGUCAUAAAGAACUUCUAUUUGUGAGUGAGAAAGCCAUAACAGAUGGGUCUAAACCAAUCAGAGGAGGAAUUCCAAUAGUUUUUCCAAAUUUUGGCCCUUGGGAUCUAGGACCUCAGCAUGGCUUUGCAAGAGUUUGCAAAUGGAGUGUUGCAAGCAACACCCAGGAUUGCUCCCCUAGUGCAUGUUUCAUUCUCGAAGAUUCAGAUUUCACCAGAAGUAUGUGGGAUCACAGGUUUAGGCUAACAUACCAAGUAACUGUUGAGAGGCAAAAGCUUUCUACUAGGCUUACAAUUGAAAAUAAAGAUACCAAGCCAUUUGACUUCACCACCCUACUACACACAUACUUCAGGAUUCCUGAUGUUACCAAGACAACUGUCACUGGCUUGAGAGGAGCUUCUUACGUCGACAAGCUUCAAAAUGGAGAUAUCUGCAAAGAAACAAGAGACUUUGUGCAGGUGGACUGUCACACAGACAGGGUGUACAUGGACACUGCUAGUUCCCAUAGACUGUCUAACUCGCCAUGUGAUGGUGACAUCAUCAUCGACAAACACAACUUACCAGACACAGUGUUGUGGAACCCAUGGGAGGAGAAAGCUGAAAAGAUGUCAGACUUCGGCAAUGACGAGUACCCGAAUAUGCUGUGUGUUGAGGCAGGAUAUGUGAGUAAGCGGUUCUUGCUCCAGCCAGGGGAGUCCUUCAACUGUGGCCAGACUUUUACGUGCGCUCCUAAGGAAUAGAAAUAUAGCCUCGCAAGCGUGAAAUGGUACGUUAAACGCAUUUGUGAAAAAACAGUAGUUUCGUUGAUGUUCUCUGUGUUAGCCAUUUAUCGUCGUCAUCGUCAUCGUCAUCGUCAUCAUCAUCGCCACUGUAAUCGUCAUCUUCACCCAUCAUCAUCUCCAUCGCCAUCGCCACCGUCGUCGUCGUCGUCAUGGCGUCAUCAUUGAAUUACAUUGAAUGAGCGAUCAGAUCUUAAUUCGGGUGUACAAUAGGUGAUCUUCUGAAAUUUAUUAGGUUAUAUGGUUAUAUAGCGGAUUUUGGUUAUCUAAAGACUUAAAAAACUUCGUGCAGAAGGCGUUUUUUCUGGCAGCAAGUGACGGCAAAUCAGCGGUUGCCAGGGCGACACUGUAUUCUACCCUGACCAUCGCCAUCGCCAUCAACAUCGUCAUGUCGGCCUCUACCGGGUCAUACGAUUGGCAGACACAUAGGGACCUUGAGCAGCAACAACGGCAAAUCGGACGCCGACGGCAGAAAACAAUGGAAUUUGAUUCAGAAUUCAAUAGCAGUACGUGGAAAUGCGUUCUGUCUGAUAUAUUUCAGCCGUUUUAGAUCGCGUUGUCCUAGCCGUCGUCGUCGUCGUUGCUUAAGGUCCCAAAUAAUAGCGAUGUCGGUUUUCAAAUUUCGCCUAGAGUAGCUCGUUUUGUGGAACUUUAAAGUCAUUUCAUUCAUGAAACUGUAAAAAAAUAUAUAUUGCAUCUGUAGAGAUGAUUACUUUUUUCAUUUGAUUGCAUUUCUGAAGAGCGAUUCUUGUUACACGUAAAAAUAACGGUUGAUGUUAUGGCAUGUGUUUUAAACAAUGGCAAUAGAUUCCUAGUUAAAAAAAAAAGGAAAAAAAGCAUUUUAAAAUAAGUAUCAAUUUUCCAUGAAGCCCUACACUCCAAUACCCCUUUUGAGACAGACAAACAAACAAAACAAAAACAAGAAAAAAGGCCCGGGGGCUUUUGUGGUGUUCUGCCUGUGAGCCGAACUUUUAUUUUGAAAGAAAAGAGGGCCGACUUAUGACUUUUUAAUUGAUAUAUGACCAUAUGAGUGGAGAGUGUUUUGACAGGAAUCCAAGGUAAUUCUGCAAUUGAAAAUAUUGCUACCACACAGUAGCAUGGUCACGAGCCCGCGGUCAGGCGCUGAGAACGUGCCUCAUUAUUCAGCGGCAUCUUCACAAGCCGCCCGCGAUAUUUAUAUACCGACACGCGUUUGGGUUCAUGUCUGACCUUUGCGCCAUUUCAGCUUAUUGCACGUGUUUUCAAUCGAGUUUUCAAGCAUCUUCGGUAAUUUCACUGUAAAAUGGUUUCAUCAAUCGCUCUUUGUCUGUGUUUGCUUAUUCGUGUUUGUUUCUGUCCGUGUUUUGAUUUUCCGUCGCCUGCUGAUCUCGCGCGCACUCUUCACUGCUCCACGUGCUGCUAUUUAUUCAAGCGAAUCUCUAUCCAGCGUUCGUGAUCGCUACAACAGUCCUCUCACGUAUAGGCAGCGCUACAUGAAAGCUAAAAGUGCUGUCAAUCGCAAGCAGAAGACGCCGGAACUUCGUUUAGUACUCCUCAUCGCGGUAUCCGCCUAUCUGAACUAAUUGAGCAUUUUAGAAGAACUAACAAGCCGGCGAUUUCAGAAGAUUCACCGGAGCGUGAUCGAUUGAAGAUCUAGCCCACACAAGCAUGUUGAGAAAGCUUUUUUAUCUUUUCUGAAUUUCGUAACAUUUGUAGCGCGACAAAGAGCAAAAUAAUGAAUCCGUCACACCCCCUAUAAGAGCAUUGGAUAAUGCCGGCAGCAGAAAUUGUUUUCAUUCUUUUUUGGUCAUUAACACUACAUUUCUCAAUUCCCGAUGAUCGUGACAUUCUAUAGAGUAUAACAAAAGGCUGGCUUCGGUUUUGAUUGUUGCUUAGACAGGUUCUUUUGUCCGAUGACACAAAAGGGGGUAGUAGAGAUGCAGCUAACAAAUACAGAUCACACAGUAUCACGACGGGGAAAUCUUGACAAUUAUUUAUGAGAAUUUAUAUAAUAUUCCCCAUUUACUUGCAAAAGUUGGCGACAUUUCAUUUUGUGAGAUAUGCGUGCUUCGAGUCUAUCGGAAUGUAAUGUACAAAGCGCUGACAGCUGGCCGCGAGCCUCGGUCUGUUUGCUCAUUUGCAUUCCGUGCUGGCCUUGGCCUCGAUUCGCUUGUCAUUCCCUGACCUGUGAUCGAAAGAGGGAGACAAACGGCGCGCGGCUGGGGUCAAUUUUUGCUAUGUUGUUAUAUCCCGGCGGACAUUUCCUGUGUAAAUGUCCCCGCCAAGUUUUGUCACGGACGCCGCGGUUUCCUCGCGCCUAUUCAAAAGAUCGCAUCUCUUGGCAAUGCAAGCGACACACCUUCUCGAGUAGAACUAAGCGUUUGUUGUAUAUUUACACGCAUGGGAUCGAGGGCGAUGAACCGGGAAGCCAGCGCGUGGUCAACAGACGCCGCUACACAGGUGGAAAAGCUGUCAAUCAUAAGUCAAGUAACCAAUCAUGGGCAGGGAUCUGUUCAGGGGUGUCGGAUCUCCCACAGCUGUUCAUUGUUGAUAUUUAGGGUAAUUGACGUUUAAUUAUUGUAUGCUAUAAAAAAUUAAAAGAUGUGUUCUCAA